GGGGAUGUUAUUUGGAAAGGUAUGUUUUAUUCAGAAGCCUUUCGGCUAUUCAAAAUAUGCAUGACCCACACCUUUACAUCAUGGGGCAGACAAAUGUUUCAUGUGCAACAUCUUCAAAAACAUGUUCCACACCUUUUUCUUUUUCCAUAAAUAAUAGUAUAAAUGCCAUUUCAAUGACACAUUCAAUGUUUCCUGGUCUGACCAGAAGAGGGCAGGAUUGCACGACUAAAAUGUUCCCCCCAAAGCAUUACAGAACUCCUGGUUGGAGUAUUCCGGCAUCCCUGCACAUUUCUUCUUGAUUCUAGGAAUAGGCCAACCAGGUUCUCUAGAAAAAAACUUUGAGACAAAUGGUGCUUGUAUUUUGGAACUGCAGAUAGUAAUGACAUGGUGGAAUAAUGUAGCACAAAACCAGUCUGCAUCUGCAGUCGGAUGGGUGGACCGUUAGGUGCAUAAAACAGCUAAGGGUCUACACUACAUUAUCUAGUGGGUUGUUUGAACGCUGAUUAGCUGAAAGACAUGUUAUGAGACCAUAAACUACAGGUACACCAAAAAGUGUACUUUUUACUGUUCUAAUUAUGUUGGUAACCAGUUUAUAAUCAAACAAUAAAGCCCCUCUACGGUUUGUAGUACAUGACCAAUUUACCUCACCAGAGGGCAGUAUAGGGUAUAGAUGUGGUAUAUCGGCCAUAUAGAACACAGCAUUGGGCGUUAUUGCUCAACUGUAAACGUCAUAAUAGCAAUAAGGCAGCUCAGGGGAUUUUGGUAUAGGGCCAGUAUACAGUACACAACUAAGGAUAUUCUCCAGGCACUCUUAUGUCAUCCAUAAGAACAGUUCUUAGCCACUGUAUACUGGCCAUAAAUCACAAUCCUAAAGCCUUAUUGCUAAAUAAUUUCACUUGAGUAAAUCACAAGUACUUACUCGGGCCAUGUAUCAAGUUACAGUUGUAGAGGAAAAAUGUCACGUUGAAGUCAAAAUCCAAUUACAUUGACUUGCAUGACACAGAAUCUUAAGCUAAAUGAAUACAGUACCAGGUUCUGAAAGGACAUUCUGAGAAGCCAAAGUAUCCAUGAUUUAAAAUGCUGCAAGAGAGAUCUCUUAUUACUCUGUAAACAUGUAAUCCACCAAAAGAUCCAUGACAAUAUUCAGAAAACAGCUGUCUGUAAUGACAAUAACAUCAAUAAAUAAGAUGACAAAGGUACUCAGUCCCAGCCAAUAUCUAUCAAAAUCCCCAAGUCAAACUUAGUCCUACAACCCACCCAUAACCACCAACAUCACUGAAAAGUAAAUAAAAUAAAAAUCGGGUACCCAGCCCCUCUUUAAAAUAUCUAGGUUAAAAACCUGCAUAUCAUCUGCUUUUUAGAAAAGCUGUCAGUUUAUUCAGUAACCGUCACCCCACCAUAGAAUCUGCAAUUGUUUAAAUGGAUUACGUCAAAUACAGUAUAAAGAAAUCACGCCCUCUACUGUCCAAGCAAUUGCCAGCAUACGUGACACCAAAAACCAAACCCGUUGUGGGUUAAGAUCACAUUCUCCAUUAGUUCAAAUUAAGUGACAACAAUAGAAGUAGUUGCCUCCUGUUGUAACCAGUAUGCAGCCAAAUGACUGUUAUCCAAUCCACAUUGCACCAUGGAGCCAUUUAGAAUAGAAAUAAUCUAUGCACCUUCACUGAAAGAACCAAGACACUAAUAGUCUAAUCCCUGCUUAUAUCGACAAACCUACUCCCGUUCACUAGGUACAACACUUAAUUGAAGUAGCAGCCUAUCAACAGGAAUAAGAAGCAGUAACAGCAGAGGUCAUGAAGUUAGUGGCAAAUAUUUCCUAAAGACAAGUCAAAACUAC
ensembl:lncRNA